rnacentral:rRNA from 1 species
CCCAGACUCCUACGGGAGGCAGCAGUGGGGAAUAUUGGUCAAUGGCCGCAGGGCUGAACCAGCCAAGUCGCGUGAGGGAAGACGGCCCUACGGGUUGUAAACCUCUUUUGUCGGGGAGCAAAGCGAACCACGUGUGGUUCAUUGAGAGUACCCGAAGAAAAAGCAUCGGCUAACUCCGUGCCAGCAGCCGCGGUAAUACGGAGGAUGCGAGCGUUAUCCGGAUUUAUUGGGUUUAAAGGGUGCGCAGGCGGAGGUGCAAGUCAGCGGUAAAAUUUCGGGGCUCAACCCCGUCGUGCCGUUGAAACUGACGCCCUUGAGUGAGUGAGAAGUAAGCGGAAUGCGUGGUGUAGCGGUGAAAUGCAUAGAUAUCACGCAGAACGCCGAUUGCGAAGGCAGCUUACCGGCGCUCAACUGACGCUGAGGCACGAAAGUGCGGGUAUCGAACAGGAUUAGAUACCCUCGUA